rnacentral:rRNA from 1 species
CCUACGGGGGACAGCAGUGAGGAAUAUUGGUCAAUGGGCGCGAGCCUGAACCAGCCAAGUAGCGUGAAGGAUGAAUGCGCCACGGGUUGUAAACUUCUUUUGUCAAGGAAUAAAGGGAGGCACGUGUGCCGUUUUGAGUGUACUUGAUGAAAAAGGAUCGGCUAACUCCGUGCCAGUAGCCGCGGUAAUACGGAGGGGGCAAGCGUUAUCCGGAUUUAUUGGGUGUAAAGGGAGCGUAGACGGCCAGACAAGUCAGAAGUUAAAGCCCAGGGCCCAACCCUGGGCCUGCCUUUGAAACGGCCGGGCUGGAGAGGAGGAGAGGUACGCGGAAUGCCCGGUGUAGCGGUGAAAUGCAUAGAUAUUAGGAGGAACACCGAUUGCGAAGGCAGCUUACUGGCCUGUGACUGACGUUGAGGCUCGAAAGCGUGGGUAGCGAACAGGAUUAGAUACCCUAGUAGUC